UAUAUUUCCGACAUGAGGAAUCCUACCAACUGAGACGGCACGAUUCUACUUCUCCCUUUCCUAUUGUUAUGGACUUGCUUUCCACGGCCAUAAAUGGCAGCCAGAGCUUCAGGACUUGGCCGGAGCGUGGUUCUUUGAGAAAUGACAAUUUUGCCUUGGAGCUGAGUGACUGCUGUAGGUGUUACUGGAUGCGUGUGGACCUUAUAGAAUCACUGGCUUGGUGCCUCAUCAUAUGAAAUAAAGAAAGGUAAAACCCUA